rnacentral:rRNA from 1 species
UACGUAGGGGGCAAGCGUUGUCCGGAAUCAUUGGGCGCAAAGCGCGUGUAGGCGGCCAGGUAAGUCCGUUCUGAAAGCCCGGGGCUCAACCCCGGGAGGCGGAUGGAUACUGCUUGGCUCGAGUCCGGAAGAGGCGAGUGGAAUUCCCGGUGUAGCGGUGAAAUGCGCAGAUAUCGGGAGGAACACCAAUGGCGAAGGCAGCUCGCUGGGACGGUACUGACGCUGAGACGCGAAAGCGUGGGGAGCAAACAGG